rnacentral:rRNA from 1 species
GAUGAACGCUGGCGGCGUGCCUAAUACAUGCAAGUCGAGCGAACAGACGAGGAGCUUGCUCCUCUGACGUUAGCGGCGGACGGGUGAGUAACACGUGGAUAACCUACCUAUAAGACUGGGAUAACUUCGGGAAACCGGAGCUAAUACCGGAUAACAUGUUGAACCGCAUGGUUCAACAGUGAAAGACGGUCUUGCUGUCACUUAUAGAUGGAUCCGCGCCGCAUUAGCUAGUUGGUAAGGUAACGGCUUACCAAGGCAACGAUGCGUAGCCGACCUGAGAGGGUGAUCGGCCACACUGGAACUGAGACACGGUCCAGACUCCUACGGGAGGCAGCAGUAGGGAAUCUUCCGCAAUGGGCGAUAGCCUGACGGAGCAACGCCGCGUGAGUGAAGAAGGUCUUCGGAUCGUAAAACUCUGUUAUUAGGGAAGAACAAAUGUGUAAGUAACUAUGCACGUCUUGACGGUACCUAAUCAGAAAGCCACGGCUAACUACGUG